rnacentral:rRNA from 1 species
GCCCGUACCGAAAAUGGACACACAUGGGUGAGGAGAGAAUCCUAAGGUGAGCGAGAGAACUAUAGCUAAGGAACUCUGCAAAAUGACUCCGUAACUUAGGGAGAAGGAGUGCUCAUAGAGAUAUGAGCCGCAGUGAAACGGCCCAAGCGACUGUUUACCAAAAACACAGCUCUCUGCUAAGCCGCAAGGCGAAGUAUAGGGGGUGACGCCUGCCCGGUGCUGGAAGGUUAAGGGGAGGGGUUAACGCAAGUGAAGCCCUGAACUGAAGCCCCAGUAAACGGCGGCCGUAACUAUAACGGUCCUAAGGUAGCGAAAUUCCUUGUCAGGUAAGUUCUGACCCGCACGAAAGGCGUAACGAUUUGGGCGCUGUCUCGGCUGUAGACUCGGUGAAGUCUUAGUACCUGUGAAGAUGCAGGUUACCCGCGACUAGACGGAAAGACCCCAUGGAGCUUUACUGUAGCUUGAUAUUGGACUCUGAUGCAUGAUGUACAGGAUAGGUAGGAGGCAAGGAUACGGAUACGCCAGUAUUCGAGGAGCCGACGUUGGGAUACUACCCUUGAUGCAUUGGAGUUCUAACCGGACGACAUGGAGCUGUCGACGGGACAGUGUCAGGUGGGCAGUUUGACUGGGGCGGUCGCCUCCCAAAGAGUAACGGAGGCGCCCAAAGAUACCCUCAGCAUGGAUGGAAACCAUGCGCAGAGUGCAAAGGCAAAAGGGUGUUUGACUGCGAGACAGACAAGUCGAGCAGGGACGAAAGUCGGGCUUAGUGAUCCGGCGGCACCGAAUGGAAGGGCCGUCGCUCAACGGAUAAAAGCUACCCUGGGGAUAACAGGCUGAUCUCCCCCAAGAGUUCACAUCGACGGGGAGGUUUGGCACCUCGAUGUCGGCUCAUCGCAUCCUGGAGCUGAAGUCGGUUCCAAGGGUUGGGCUGUUCGCCCAUUAAAGCGGUACGCGAGCUGGGUUCAGAACGUCGUGAGACAGUUCGGUCCCUAUCUGUCGUGGGCGCAGGAAGUUUGAGGAGAGCUGCCCUCAGUACGAGAGGACCGGGGUGGACGGACCGAUGGUGCACCAGUUGUCACGCCAGUGGCACAGCUGGGUAGCCAAGUCCGGAAGGGAUAAACGCUGAAGGCAUCUAAGCGUGAAGCCCCCUCCAAGAUGAGACUUCCCAUUCUUCGGAAGUAAGGUUCCUCCAAGACGAGGAGGUAGAUAGGUCAUGAGUGUAAGCAUGGUGACAUGCUGAGCUGAAUGAUACUAAUAGACCGAGGGCUUAGCCGA